rnacentral:rRNA from 1 species
ACACUCCUACGGGAGGCAGCAGUGGGGAAUAUUGGACAAUGGGCGCAAGCCUGAUCCAGCCAUGCCGCGUGAGUGGUGAAGGCCCUAGGGUUGUAAAGCUCUUUCACCGGUGAAGAUAAUGACGGUAACCGGAGAAGAAGCCCCGGCUAACUUCGUGCCAGCAGCCGCGGUAAUACGAAGGGGGCUAGCGUUGUUCGGAUUUACUGGGCGUAAAGCGCACGUAGGCGGACUAUUAAGUCAGGGGUGAAAUCCCGGGGCUCAACCCCGGAACUGCCUUUGAUACUGGUAGUCUUGAGUUCGAGAGAGGUGAGUGGAAUUCCGAGUGUAGAGGUGAAAUUCGUAGAUAUUCGGAGGAACACCAGUGGCGAAGGCGGCUCACUGGCUCGAUACUGACGCUGAGGUGCGAAAGCGUGGGGAGCAAACAGGAUUAGAAACCCGUGUAGUCCCA